rnacentral:other from 1 species
AGAGUCCUGAUGUGUUUGUGGUAGACCCUAUGUUUUGACCUAACAUACUACCUUCGGGAGUUCGCGUUUUCGAGUGAAGUAAAUGCCUAGCACAUAGGACUUACAAAAGCUUGGAACAGAACACCCACCUGCUGAGUGCGGGUUCAAAACGAAGGAAAAUAAUGCGACGGCACAAUUGGGACUCUU